GACCCGUGUGGUGUGAUAGCUGGUCUGAACAGUAUGAGGGUAUUGACCCGUGUUGUGUGAUAGCUGGUCUGAACAGUAUGAGGGUAUUGACCCGUGUUGUGUGAUAGCUGGUCUGAACAGUAUGAGGGUAUUGACCCGUGUUGUGUGAUAGCUGGUCUGAACAGUAUGAGGGUAUUGACCCGUGUUGUGUUGUGUGAUAGCUGGUCUGAACAGUAUGAGGGUAUUGACCCGUGUUGUGUGAUAGCUGGUCU